rnacentral:rRNA from 1 species
CUGGCCUCGAACRUGGCGGGAU